UUUGUGUUUCUGACCUUCAGUGUGGACAGCCCAGUCUUUAUUCGCCAAACCCCUCUUAGAUGGUCAUGCUCUGCACUUGGGAAAUUCAGAGGGAAAGGUACAAUGCUCCUUAGCUUGGGCUCCGUGCAGACAUCAGAAAUGGACACUGGGCCGUGCCUUGGGCACUGGGGUGGUCCACAGCAACACCAGGGCUGUGAGUUGCAGUAAGGAGGAAGCAAGGAACUUCACCGAUGGACGUGGUUAUCCCCAAAGCAGCAGGAGAGGAAUCUUCAGCAGCGCUCAGCACGGGAUGCUGAGAGGAAACACUGCUUAUUGCCAGCCUAGAUUUUGUUCUGUAUGUAGUUUUAUGGACCACUGUCUUUGGGAAGAAGGAGCCCACACAAAUCCACUGCAGUAGAGGAGGAUGCUUUUUCCCACCAAGAGUGCUGUGCCAUAGGAAUGCUGCUUCUCCUUCAGAAAUCGAGUGAUGCUCCAUCUAGGUGCCCUUAGUCGUGAUGCUUGUGAAGAUUUGUGUGGUGGUGAGGAAUGUCUUGGGCAUCAGGAGCAUUUCAAGUAGCCCAAGUGGGCACGGGGCAGCCACCACAGGCUGCCAUGCUCCUCAUGUGGCACCUCUGUUCCUGCUGAAGGCACAGUAGUGUGGGAAGGACUUCUGGUGUCAGUAUGGUGUCCUCUUCACAGACUUCUAUCAGGGACCAGCUGGAAAACAAAUAAAAAUCUUUUCGCAAGAGCUCUGCCCUGUGGUCAAGGCCAUGUCCUACAGCACAGGGGGCAGGAGGCACAGUCAGUCACAGGUGGACACUGCCAAAGCCAGCUAGGGACUUUAUUGUCACUGUUUGCAUUUGUAGUACAAGCAG